GAGUUUGAUCCUGGCUCAGGAUGAACGCUGGCGGCGUGCCUAAUACAUGCAAGUCGAGCGAACAGAUAAGGAGCUUGCUCCUUUGACGUUAGCGGCGGACGGGUGAGUAACACGUGGGUAACCUACCUAUAAGACUGGAAUAACUCCGGGAAACCGGGGCUAAUGCCGGAUAAUAUUUAGAACCGCAUGGUUCUAAAGUGAAAGAUGGUUUUACUAUCACUUAUAGAUGGACCCGCGCCGUAUUAGCUAGUUGGUGGGGUAAUGGCUUACCAAGGCAACGAUACGUAGCCGACCUGAGAGGGUGAUCGGCCACACUGGAACUGAGACACGGUCCAGACUCCUACGGGAGGCAGCAGUAGGGAAUCUUCCGCAAUGGGCGAAAGCCUGACGGAGCAACGCCGCGUGAGUGAUGAAGGUCUUCGGAUCGUAAAACUCUGUUAUUAGGGAAGAACAAAUGUGUAAGUAACUGUGCACGUCUUGACGGUACCUAAUCAGAAAGCCACGGCUAACUACGUGCCAGCAGCCGCGGUAAUACGUAGGUGGCAAGCGUUAUCCGGAAUUAUUGGGCGUAAAGCGCG
rnacentral:rRNA from 1 species